GACGGAGGGUGCAAACGUUGUUCGGAAUCACUGGGCAUAAAGAGCACGUAGGCGGCCCCCUAAGUCAUGUGUGAAAUCCCCCGGCUCAACCGGGGAACUGCACAUGAUACUGGGGGGCUCGAGGACGGUAGGGGUGAGUGGAACUCCAGGUGGAGCGGUGAAAUGCGUAGAUAUCUGGAGGAACACCGGUGGCGAAAGCGGCUCACUGGACCGUCUCUGACGCUGAGGUGCGAAAGCUAGGGUAGCAAACGGG
rnacentral:rRNA from 1 species